rnacentral:lncRNA from 1 species
GUCUUAGGCAGCGCUGAGAGUGACCUGUGUCGCGCGUGCACACAACCCCGCUUUCUGCAUGGCUGACACGCAGGGAACACUGACUGCGACAUGGGUCCAGUGUGCUGUACCUCGGGAGGACACAACCUCAUGCCUGCACUCGAGGAGACCAGGAAUCAGUGCAGUGCUGUUCAGAAAACAUGUCCAAAGCCGUGCUGUGUGAGGAAACAAACAACCAACAAUGAGGACACUUCAGACUUGGCUCGUCUGAGCUGCCCAAAGAAGACCUGAGAGGGAAGUGACCGACUUAACUCCAGCUGUUAGCAGACACUUGGAUGGAAGUGUUCCCAGACUGGACAGCAAGACUGAGAUGUUGUCCUGCUACUUGGAGGCUGACAAGACCCC